rnacentral:rRNA from 1 species
CACGUAGGUGGCAAGCGUUGUCCGGAUUUAUUGGGUUUAAAGGGUGCGUAGGCGGUCUUCUAAGUCAGUUGUGAAAUACUUCAGCUUAACUGGAGAGGUGCAAUUGAUACUGGAAGACUUGAGUACUGAUGAGGUAGGCGGAAUGGACGGUGUAGCGGUGAAAUGCGUAGAUAUCUGAAGGAACAUCAGUGGCGAAAGCGACUUCCUGGACCAAUACUGACGCUCAUGUGCGAAAGCGUGGGGAGCAAACAGG